GAUGAACGCUAGCGACAGGCCUAACACAUGCAAGUCGAGGGGCAUCGGGACGUAGCAAUACGUUGCCGGCGACCGGCGGAUGGGUGAGUAACGCGUAUGCAACCUACCCGUAGCAGGGGGAUAGCCCGUUGAACGACGGAUUAAUACCCCGUAACACAGGGGCUCCGCAUGGAGAUUAUUGUUAAAGGGUCAUUUCUUUUUCAGGGAUGGUCCGGCUGCGGAUGGGCAUGCGUUCCAUUAGGUAGUUGGUGUAGGUAACUGCUCACCAAGCCGACGAUGGAUAGGGGAACUGAGAGGUUGGUCCCCCACACUGGUACUGAGACACGGACCAGACUCCUACGGGAGGCAGCAGUGAGGAAUUUUGGUCAAUGGACGCAAGUCUGAACCAGCCAUGUCGCGUGAAGGAGGACGGCCCUAAGGGUUGUAAACUUCUUUUGCAGUGGAAUAAAGUUUGCCACGUGUUGGCGAUUUGCAAGUACGCUGCGAAUAAGGAUCGGCUAACUCCGUGCCAGCAGCCGCGGUAAUACGGAGGAUCCAGGCGUUAUCCGGAUUUAUUGGGUUUAAAGGGUGCGCAGGCGGGGAAUUAGGUCGGCGGUGAAAUUUCGGGGCUCAACCUCGACAGUGCCGUUGAAACCGUUUCUCUUGAGUGCGGAUGAGGUAGGCGGAAUUUGUGGUGUAGCGGUGAAAUGCGUAGAUAUCACAAGGAACACCGAUUGCGGAGGCAGCUUACUAAACCGUUACUGACGCUCAUGCACGAAGGCGUGGGGAUCAAACAGG
rnacentral:rRNA from 1 species